rnacentral:tRNA from 1 species
GUCGGGAUAGCUCAGCUGGUUGA